GGGGCUGGGCCUCUGUGCCUGUAUCUAUGGCCUCUGCUCUCGCCCCACAGGCCCAGCUGAUAGCCCAGUCCAUCGG
rnacentral:miRNA from 1 species